rnacentral:rRNA from 1 species
GACGGAAAGAGCUUGUCUUUCCGGAAUUGAGUGGCAAACGGGUGAGUAACACGUAAACAACCUGCCUUCAGGAUGGGGACAACAGACGGAAACGACUGCUAAUACCGAAUAAGUUCCAAGGGCCGCAUGGCCCAUGGAAGAAAAGGUGGCCUCUACCUGUAAGCUAUCGCCUGAAGAGGGGUUUGCGUCUGAUUAGCUGGUUGGAGGGGUAACGGCCCACCAAGGCGACGAUCAGUAGCCGGUCUGAGAGGAUGAACGGCCACACUGGAACUGAGACACGGUCCAGACUCCUACGGGAGGCAGCAGUGGGGAAUCUUCCGCAAUGGGCGAAAGCCUGACGGAGCAACGCCGCGUGAGUGAUGACGGCCUUCGGGUUGUAAACUCUGUGAUCCGGGACGAAAAGGCAGAGUGCGAAGAACAAACUGCAUUGACGGUACCGGAAAAGCGAGCC